UACGUAGGGCGCAAGCGUUGUCCGGAAUCAUUGGGCGUAAAGAGCGUGUAGGCGGCCCGGUAAGUCCGCUGUGAAAGUCCAGGGCUCAACCCUGGAAUGCCGGUGGAAACUGUCGGGCUAGAGUCCGGAAGAGGCGAGUGGAAUUCCUGGUGUAGCGGUGAAAUGCGCAGAUAUCAGGAGGAACACCAAUGGCGAAGGCAGCUCGCUGGGACGGUACUGACGCUGAGACGCGAAAGCGUGGGGAGCAAACAGG
rnacentral:rRNA from 1 species